CAGGACCUGGAGCUCUUACUAGAUCACUGUCUAUUCCUGCAAGUGUGCCUGGCAACCACAGAGUAAACUUAAAGAAAGUAGAAGAAGAAUCAAUGUGGACAGGAACAAAAAUGAAUGAAUCAACCAGAAAGCUGAAGAACAGAACUGGUGAAGAAAUCUAAGAGCUGUUUGGAAAAACCAACAAAGCAGCCAAAUUCCUGGCAAGUUUAAUCAAUGAAAAAAAAAAAAAAAAAAAAAAAACAAACACAGAGGGGAUUAAAAAAUAUGAGAAUACUGUAUUCAGUUAUUGGUAAUAAAUGUAAAAGUCUCAAUGAAAUGGAGUAAAAGGAAACUUUAGGCCAGGUGCAGCCUAUUAUCUCAGCAGUUUGGGAAGCUGAGGCAGGUAGAUCCCUUGAGCCCAUGUGUUCAAAACCAGACUGGGCAACAUGGCAAACCCCAUCUCUAGUAAACAUUCAAACAGUAGCUAGGUGUGGUGGCAUACACCUGUGGUCCCAGCUCCUCAGGAGGCUGAGGUGGGAGGAUCCCUUGAGCCCGGGAUGUUGAGGCUGUAGUAAUCUGUGAUCACGCCACUGCACUCCAGCCUGGGGAUGAUAGAGCAAGAACCUCUCUCAGAUAAUAAAAACAAAACAGGAAACUUGAAAGUACCAACAUUGAAUUAAGGAGAGAAUAUUUAAAACUACUGUAAAGUGCUAUGAAAGACACUGUGAUGGAUUUUUUUCAGAAAAUUCCUUCCUUCAUUUAAAGAAUGAAUAAUUCCUAGAGCAUAGACCAGGGAAGAUGUUCCAAAUUACAUCAUGAAGGCAGCAUCACCUGGACCCCAAAUGCAGAGAAUGCAAAAAAGACUACAGACUGAUCUCGUUUAGGACAUGAUACACCAAAAUUCUAAGUAAAAUAUCGACAAGUCAAAUCUAGCAUGGUAUUGAGAGAACAUACUGUGAGCAAGUGUAAUACAUUUCAAUGGCUAACUAUUAGGAAAUCUACCAUUAAUCAUUCCAAAGUCAAAGAGAAAAACCAUUUGAUUCUCUUGCUAGACACCAGAAGGGCCUUUGAAAAAAGCUCAAAAUCAAUUUCUUGGGGAAAACCCCUCAAUAAAAUAGGAAUGGAAUGAUAUUUUCUUCGUGCAAUGAAGAAUAUCUCUAUAAAAAGAAGAAACAGCACCAUUCUUUUUCAAGUGGUGAAACAUUAAUUUGGGAAAAAAGAAAAAGGACAAAGGAAGGGAGGCAAUACCAGACUCUCAAUGUCAUGCUGGAUGCUGUAAAUGGAAGCCCUCGAGAGAACUCAAUGCUUUUUUGCACGCCUCAGGCUGGGGCUCGCUGGAAUCGACCAAAACUCAGAGCAGCAGGCAGACAGGGAAGAGCCCAUCGUGCCUGGACUCCCACCCCCUACUGAUGACUUUUGCUGUGCCUCUAACACAGUCAUUUAACCGCGCCGCCUGUUUUUUUCUUGCUUACCAAGCACAAAUCCCUGCUCCCUGGGAGCAGAGACAUAACUCUUGUGUAAUCACUUGGGUGCCGAGGAGUGUAUGUCAGCCCUCGGAGGACUUGAGGGGCUGCUGGGUGUGUUAUGGCUCUUCUGUGAGCACCUAAGCAUCGCCUGCCUGUGGCUUCAGCUUGGGGAGAACCUGACUCUGUAAUAAGUAAAAUAAUGUCUCUGGGUGAAAAUGAUAGGCAUCGUAUAAUUACAGAACAAAGUGCAUAUUGUUUUCUGAAUAUGAAUACCAGCUACAGAAAUCAAAUUUACCUCACUGGAUGUGAGAAAAUUACUUUAACAGUUGAUUUAUAAGAAGCUACAUAAAGCUAAGCCCGCAAUCCUUCCUCUCCUGAAUGUUCUUUGAGAUGCAUCUGAGUACUGCUAUCAACGCUUGAUUGCAUCUCUGUACUUGUUUCUUUAUGGAUGGCUUUUUUCUUUUUCUUUUUUUUUUGCUCGGAUGCAGUAGUAAAAUCAAGGUUCCUUACAGAAAUAAACAGAUGCCAGAGUAGACCAUUCUUUGUAUUGAUGCAUAUCUGUUUUGUGGGAAAGCGACAAUUUUAAAGACAUGGUUCUUGCCUUUUAAAAAGUGAUUUUCUAAGUAACUGCCCUUAAUAAAGAAAGUGAUUAAAUGAGACUUAAGUAUUAAACAAUAGUUAAGCAGAGAUGAGACGGGGGAUACUGUCGGAGUGAUCCAUGGGAGUCGGGUAUAAGUCAUACGAAAAUGAGCCCUCAAUACUGAAUAUUUAGUGACUAAAUGUUCAACGCAAGGACUCCAGAGUGAUAUUAGAGUUUAGGUUAAUGAUACUGCCAAUGUUACAAGUUCAGACUCAGUUUAGAAACAAUUAUUCAGAGCUUUUCCAACGUUACCUUCCUCAGGAGCAACCCUAGCUCUCUUUAGGGGAGGAGGGAAGUCUCUCCCCUGUACAAUCCUUCAGUUCUGGCCCCUAGAAUGCCACUAACUGUAGCAUCUCACCUGCAUAGUUAAACACAGCAAACCUAAACACAGGGUGACAUGUGGUGCCUCAGUGAUGGCCAUUCCUCAGACAUGUCUGGGUUUCCCCAGCCCUUAUCUAGACCAAGCCAGGACCACAUGCACACGUGGUGAGGGUACAUAGGCAUCCACAUGGACACAUGCAGUACAUGCGAGCAUGCCCACAUGGGGGAGCACAAACGUCUACAUGGACACGGGGUACACAUGAUGAUGUGCAUGCAUGAGUGCACACACGUACCAACACGCUGGCUCUCCAGUGCUGACCUCCCUGACCAACACUGAGGUUAUGGUGCCAUCACUUUCUUCUAGCCCCUCAUAGGACGGACUUGCCAUCCUGCAAAGACCUGAAGAACCAUCCUCUUGCUCAGAGUUCUCUCAAGAAAAAGGAAGUCUCUGCAGCUUGAAGCAACCUCUAAGCAGCUGACUUAGCCCCCUGGAAGAGGGCUGUUGUGGGCAGCUGCGUUCAUUGUGAGCAAUCCGGAGUGGGCCUGUUCUCCUGCCUGUUCCCAGGCUCAGGCUCAGGAGAGGGAGUUGGAGGCAUGAGAGAAGCCACUGUUUGGGGAGCACCUGGCUCCUCCAAGGCUCAGAGCAUGUGUGGUCCCUGGCUGACUUGGGUGUCCUCUGGUCUGUGUGGUCAGUCUCCCACUCUGACCGUGGAUGCCAAAGGGGAGGCCCUCAUCUCUUCACACAUGGCUCAUCUCUUCACGCAUGCCUGUACUGUCCUCAGCAUGUCAUGUGCAUAACUGGAGCUCAAUGAAUAUUUUCUGACUUCAGGGAGGUGUGUUAGCCUAGCAUGCUGCCUCCUGGGGAGCCCUGGGAAGAAGGAUAGUGAGGAAUUCAUAUUACCCAGGGAGGUCUGGCCUUGCCCUUCUUGACUACAGGGAGGCAAUCUCUAGGCUCUGGAAUGUCAUGCCUCAUAGGAGUCUCUUUAUCUGCCUGGGGUGUUUGGGCCAGGUGGUAUCAGUUCUGCCUCCGGAGGGGCUGGAGAUGAGAGGGCAGUCACAUGCGCAGUAUUUGAAUGAGCUCCAGCAAACACUUUGGACACCAAGGUCUGGGUGAACUUCUCUGGGAAACUGAUGCUGUGACAGCGAUGUGUCCGUGAGUCCGCUGAGAGAGGAGAGCAGAUGUUCCAUGUUUAGAUCCCUCCUGGGCUCUGCCCUGUGGGCUUUGUUGCGUGGCUGGGUUUUAUCCGUACUCUUUUCGCUGUAUUAAACUUUAACUGUGAGUAUAACA